CAUUCUGAAUGGUGCUAUGCUUGGUCAAUGGCGCCAUUUCAAAUGGCAACAUGUGCAGAAAAGCAGUCAAGGAGACAGCAGGUGCAGAGGAGACAGAAAAAAGCAGCAGGGAGUCAAUGGCGCCAUUCUGAAUGGCGCUAUCACAUGGCAAUGGCUCCAUUUCAAAUGGUGCUACCCAGUUUGUCUUCUGUCAGGGGUGUAUUA
rnacentral:lncRNA from 1 species